AGCAGGUCCCUGGAGCUAUGCAGGAUUCACAGGGUGACACUCAAACAAGGACAGGAACACAGCCCCUGACUUCUGUUAGAUGAGGUGACCUCUGCGAGAAGGGCCAUGGACUCAGAUGUGGCCUUUGGUGGCAGCACAGCCAAGACCUCACCAUGGCCUCAGGUGGCAUCGCCAGCUCCUCACAUCAGGUGGUUCCUCACUACCCCAAGGUAUCACUGAAUAUUGGGACUUCAUUUAAAGAUCUCUCCUCCAACCGCCAAGCUGACCUCACCCACCUGCCAUCAUUAAUAGCUCUGUCCUCCAUGGCCUUCCAGAUUGAUUCACUCCAUGCGAAUGUGCUCAGUGGAAUCUCCCGCGCUGCUGAGAGUUCCCAUAAGCCGAAGGUUUGCCUCUCUCAUCCUCUGUCGAUAGAGCUUCUCUUGCUCCUUGGAACA